ensembl:lncRNA
AUAUAAAGUGGCUGUUAAACAUAGAAACACAUACAUCCCGCACUGUGUUAGAUACCGGACGAAAUGAUUGAUCUUAUAAGGCAGCAUAAUUUUGCUGCCAACUAUUUGGAACGGCCUCGCGUCUGGAGCUCGCCUGUGGUGCUUAAAAAUGCUGUGUAGGAAGGCAGCUCGCUGGGUUUGGAAUGGAGCCAUUCUCUCCUGUCAGAUGUCUUUGAGGGAGCAAAUAGGAGACCAAAGUGACGUUUUGUUGCACUAAAUGAAAUGAGAAUGGCAGUGGAAUAUACGGCCGGCAGCUCUUGAGUGCCACUGACAUUUCCAGCGGAUGACGACACAGAUGGUACUGAAGCCAGUGAUUAGUCUCUGCAUGUCUCUGCAUUUACGGCCAUUUCAACGGAGCGGCACUGGUCUCCACGGUCGUCUGUCUCAGCCUGUGCUGCUGAUUCAAGCAGCUUGUGCUCCACCACAGACUGUGUUUCCCGUGGUGUGUCUGAAUCUCUGCUGUUCUUCCUGUGGUGGACAUGCAGCUGCUGUGGAGUUGUUCUCAAACUGAUGAGCAGAGAAUAGACAGGAAAUUGUAUGGAAACAGUCACACAAGCUAGACUCGAAUAUGUGUCGCCAGCUAGAGCAGAAUUGCAUCAAUUUUGAACUGACCUAAAGGUAUGUUUUUAUAAGCCAGGAAUUUUUUGAACCAAUCAUGCACUAUGGUUAACAUUACCUAAAUUAACUCCUUGCAUAUUAUAAAUAUAGCUGUUCAUAACAAAUGGUUUAUACAGUACUAUUGUAACUCAAGUGUUACUUUAUUAUCUGAAAGCAAUGUUCUGCUGUGUCAAAUCUAGUCCUCAGAUUUGUAACUGAUCUGAAUCUGAUUUGAUCUGAAAUUGAUGAUUCCCAGUGUCAGUACCGUUCCAUAAACUUCAGUAAGCUGCAUGAGAGCUCACCGCUAAGCUACGUCUGCAACAAAUUCUGCCUUUAGCACAGGAGUCAAUAUCAUGGUCUGAUGUAGGUAGAGUUCGGAAAGGAGGCAUAGUUCAGCUAGAAAUCAUCCUCCUACGCUGCCUAUUCUAAAACAUAUAAAAGUCUAUUUCUGAUUUACUCUGAGUACAAUAAUCCCGCUCAUGUGGAGCAGAGGCUUUUCCAGUGAGGAGUCAAUUGAGGGAAGAGGGCUUGUAUUGCUCUCCAUCUGAGAGGUAAUUAAUUUCAAUUCCAUUCAUUUGUCUCUUUGCCUGACAUUUUAAGCACUGACACUGAUGUGGAGUUUAUAUGGAUUAAUAAUACCCGGCUCAUUCCCGUUGUGGCAUUAACCUGCUUUUGUGUAUUAUCAGAGAAAAACAGACCUGAACACAAGCGCGACUGACCCACAUCAUUACCCUGAACAUGAAAAAAUGUUUACAGGUAAUCUCAAGUUAAUGUGACAUCUGAUAUUCAUUUACACGAGCCCGGCCUGUUUACUGUCCUUCACGAGCAACCACAAAACAAAAGACCUUUGUAAUAUUUAAUAAAGAUGCUUUUGUUAUCA